rnacentral:rRNA from 1 species
GAUGAACGCUGGCGGCGUGCCUAAUACAUGCAAGUCGAGCGAACGGACGGGAAGCUUGCUUCUCUGAUGUUAGCGGCGGACGGGUGAGUAACACGUGGAUAACCUCCCUAUAAGACUGGGAUCACUUCGGGACACCGGCGCUAAUACCGGAUAAUAUUUUGCACCGCAUGGUUCAAAAGUGAAAGACGGUCUUGCUGUCACUUAUAGAUGGAUCCGCGCUGCAUUAGCUAGUUGGUAAGGUAACGGCUUACCAAGGCAACGAUGCAUAGCCGACCUGAGAGGGUGAUCGGCCACACGGGAACUGAGACACGGUCCAGACUCCUACGGGAGGCAGCAGUAGGGAAUCUUCCGCAAUGGGCGAAAGCCUGACGGAGCAACGCCGCGUGAGUGAUGAAGGUCUUCGGAUCGUAAAACUCUGUUAUUAGGGAAGAACAUAUGUGUAAGUAACUGUGCACAUCUUGACGGUACCUAAUCAGAAAGCCACGGCUAACUACGUG